AUGAACAAGAAUCUAGUUAGCGGCUCCCUUCUAUGUCGAGAUGGAUUUAAGGUAGUUUUAGAGUCCAAUAAAGUAAUCGUGUCAAGAUUUGGACAAUUUAUAGGAAAAGGCUAUGAGUGCGGAGGCUUGUUCCGCUUUUCUCUUUCAGAUUUUUGCAAUAAGUCAAUAAACCAAAUUUGUGCUAGUGUUAAUGAUGAUGCAAGUAUUUGGCACUCUCGUUUAUGUCAUAUUAAUUUUGGUUUAAUGUCUCGGCUAUCCAGCAUGAGUUUAAUUCCGAACUUCACAGUUGCCAAAGGUUCUAAGUGCCAUAGUUGUGUGCAAUCUAAGCAACCUCGAAAGCCUCAUAAGGCUGCCGAGGAGAGAAACUUGGCGCCUCUAGAACUCAUACAUUCGGAUCUUUGUGAGAUGAAUGGUGUGUUGACAAAAGGUGGAAAGAGAUAUUUCAUGACUUUGAUUGAUGAUGCAACUAGAUUUUGCUAUCUUUAUUUGUUGCAAACUAAAGAUGAAGCAUUAGACUACUUUAAAAUCUAUAAAGCUGAAGUUGAAAAUCAACUAGAGAGAAAGAUCAAGCGUCUUAGGUCCGAUCGUGGUGGAGAGUAUUUUCCAAAAGUUUUUGAUGAAUUUUGUGAGGAACAUGGUAUUAUUCAUGAGAGGACGCCUCCCUAUUCACCUCAAUCAAAUGGAGUGGCCGAGAGGAAAAACCGCACAUUGACUGACUUGGUGAAUGCCAUGUUAGACACUGCUGGUUCAUCUAAGGCAUGGUGGGGGGAGGCUCUAUUGACUUCAUGUCAUGUCCUGAAUAGAGUUCCCAACAAUAAUAAAGAGAAAAUCCCUUAUGAGGAGUGGGUUGGGAGAAAACCAUCACUUUUUUAUUUGCGCACUUGGGGAUGUUUGGCAAAGGUCAAUAUUCCUAUUCCUAAGAAACGCAAACUUGGACCAAAGACAGUGGAUUGUGUCUUUCUAGGGUAUGCUCAACGGAGCAUUGCUUAUAGGUUUUUAGUGGUAAAAUCUGAAGUACCUGAUAUGCAUGUUGAUACUAUAAUGGAAUCUCGUGAUGCAACAUUUUUUGAGAACAUAUUUCCUAUGAAAGAUAUGCAUAGCAUUGCUAGAUUUUCUUCUGAGAUAAUUCCUAAAUCUAGUACAACUGAUGAAUAUUUCGAACAAUCACAUGAGGAAGUCCUUGAGAAGGAUAACAAUGAAGUUCCUAGAAGGAACAAGAGACAAAGGAUUGCAAAAUCCUUUGGUGAUGAUUUCAUUGUAUACCUUGUGGACGACACACCCAAGACGAUUGCAGAAGCAUAUGCAUCUCCGGAUGUAGAUGAUUGGAAAGAAGCUGUUCAUAAUGAGAUGGACUCAAUUCUUUCUAAUGGAACUUGGGAACUAACUGAUAGACCAUAUGGUUGUAAACCUGUGGGCUGUAAGUGGGUGUUCAAAAAGAAGCUAAAGCCUGAUGGUACUAUUGAUAAGUACAAGGCGCGGCUAGUGGCCAAGGGCUACACUCAGAAAGAAGGCGAAGAUUACUUUGACACCUAUUCACCCGUUGCUAGAAUGACCACCAUUCGAGUGUUACUUUCCUUGGCUGCCUCUUAUGGUCUUAUCAUUCAUCAAAUGGAUGUAAAGGCAGCUUUUCUCAAUGGAGAGUUGGAAGAGGAGAUCUAUAUGGAUCAGCCUGACGGGUUUGUGGUAAAGGGUGAAUAG
rnacentral:rRNA from 1 species